rnacentral:rRNA from 1 species
GAUGAACGCUGGCGGCGUGCCUAAUACAUGCAAGUCGAGCGAACAGACGAUGAGCUUGCUCCUCUGACGUUAGCGGCGGACGGGUGAGUAACACGUGGAUAACCUACCUAUAAGACUGGGAGAACUUCGGGAAACCGGAGCUAAUACCGGAUAAUAUAUUGAACCGCAUGGUUCAAUAGUGAAAGACGGUUUUGCUGUCACUUAGAGAUGGAUCCGCGCCGCAUUAGCUAGUUGGUAAGGUAACGGCUUACCAAGGCGACGAUGCGUAGCCGACCUGAGAGGGUGAUCGGCCACACUGGAACUGAGACACGGUCCAGACUCCUACGGGAGGCAGCAGUAGGGAAUCUUCCGCAAUGGGCGAAAGCCUGACGGAGCAACGCCGCGUGAGUGAUGAAGGUCUUCGGAUCGUAAAACUCUGUUAUUAGGGAAGAACAAAUGUGUAAGUAACUAUGCACGUCUUGACGGUACCUAAUCAGAAAGCCACGGCUAACUACGUG